ensembl:snoRNA SNORA70 Small nucleolar RNA SNORA70
CCACAGCUAGUUAAGCCCACUUGACUCAUCAUUUCUCUGAUGAGGGCUCAGUUGCAGUGACUGCAAAAAGCAGAUUCCCUUGUUGUGUAUACAACUCAUUUCCUUGUUUGUGUUGCUCUAUGGGACCUUGGAGACAUCA